GCUCUUGUGGUGGAAUGGUAUACACGGAAGUCUCAAAAACUUCUGCCCUAAAGGCUUGUGAGUUCGAGUCUCACCGGGAGCA
rnacentral:tRNA from 1 species